GUCGCUGAUGUGCCAAGUUAUAAAGCAUUUUGCAAAUCUAAGAAGUCUGCUUGUGGCAUUCAUGUGCAUACUCAGCUAUGUGGUACCUGACUUGUAGAAAUUUAGCACCAGUAAGAAAAAUAAAUGUAUAUAAUGAUUUUGAUUUCAUCUCUAUCAAUAUUCUUAGUUGUAUCAUGAGUUCUUCUGACACUAAUGUCAUCUAUAAAUAAGUGAUUAUGUAGACUGAGUGAGUUUGUUUUUAAGCUUCACUUAUGAUGAUGUCUAUUUCAUUCUUUUGCUUGUGAAAGUGUAGUGUUUGCAGUCAGAUGAGAUUUAGGUGAAUGAAAUACCACUGAUUUUUGGUAAACAUAAGAUGACCAUUGGAUACUCUCCUUUAGUUCUCCUUCAAAUGUUGCAUUAAUCCAGAAAACUUAAUCCAGAG
rnacentral:lncRNA from 1 species